CAGAGGGCAGAAAGGGAGUAGGGGAGAAAGGUCAUAAAGGCAUAUUUACCAAAGGAUUUAGCACAUAGGUACUUCUGACUCCCUUUGUCACACACAAAGUAGGGCAGGUUCUUCACUGAUGACAAAGAGGGUGUCUUUCUCCAUUAGGCAUUUAAGAAGCACCAGGAGUUGUCAAGGCAGACAUGCCAGCUCGCCGGAUGGUGCUGUGAACUGGAGAACACCAUCUGUUUUGUUAAGGUUGACAGUCUGAAAUUUCUGGUUAAACUCCAGAUCUCCUUGUUGUGAAGGGCUUGAUAACUUUUAGUCCAUUACCUUCUGCUUACUGAGUCACAGAGCAUAUUAUAUCUCCCUCCAGAGCACUCCAACAGCUGGGCCAUGUUAUAAGCUGUCUUUGUCUUAUUCGGUAUUAGAUAAUGGAUUUGAUGGGACCUUCCAUCUGAAUCAAGGAAAUGCAAUUACAGAAUUGCGGUUGUUUCCAAUAAGUGGCCAACUCUGACAUUCUGGCUCAAGAACGCAAAUCCGUUACUUUUUUGCCAGUGGGGUUGUUCUGAUGAGGGCUUGCUUUACAAGCACAUUGGACACAUAACAACAAAGCAUUUACUUCACUUUUUAAUUGCUCUUGGAAACAUUUUAAAUGGCACCAAUGUAAUCUUUACUAGAAAAUGAAAGCGUUCACUUCCCCAAGUAACUUAACUCUUCAAAGGAGGGCAGAAAGGACCACUUUAUAAAAUUCAUUGAAAACUGAGUGCCUGUAUUCAGGAGCUAACAAAGCUGUUUCAGAGUCAAGUGGGGACACGCUGAGUCAGCAAUACCCACUAGAAGUUGCAUUCCAGCUUUAAUCCAAUUCAACAAAUGCAAUUUCUGCUGUGUCAGAGGCAGCCUUAAGAAGAAUUUGCGGAACAACAUGCUGAAAAUGGCUCUUGGUGAAAGCUACGUUUUGACGGCACCAAGAAAUUACUAAUUAUGCUGAAGAGAGUCUUAAACACUUGAGCCUCUUGUGGAUUUCAUGCUGGAAAAGAGAGGAGAGUUCAGGCUGAGGUUUUGUGAAUUUUUAAGUGAGCUAAUAAAACACUGCCGAAGAAGCUACAUCAAGUACAGCGCUAGCACACUGGAGGAGUUCCAGGAGUGUCACUGCUUUCAUCAUUAUCAUGACUUCUGUGCUACUUCAAGGGUGUGUUGGAGAGAUCACAAAGGCCUUUUCAUACAUUCUCUAUGAAACCUGUUAUUUGAAUACCUAAAAAGUACAGCUAGUAUCAGUUUCCUAAGGCUAAGUGUUAAAUGCAGAGAAUAGACCAUUAAGUUCAUGUACUUAAAAGAAGAAACAGUGUGAUACUCUAGUGAUCUUCUUGUCCAAAAGUAACAAAUAUUAGGGUUCUUCAAACCUGCACAAAGGGCCUUGCUUUGUAAACUUCUUGGCUGAAGAUCCAAAACGGUUAAUAUAUUAUUUAGUUAGCCGGCUAAUCAGACUGUCUCAUUUAGCUAUCGGGAGAAGGACUGUGUAAAAGAAAGAGAAAAAUCUGCUCGAUUCAGUAUUCCUCCUAACUGCGGGGAGUAAAAUUAAAAUGGCAUCAUAAAACCUAA